UGUUUGAUGUAUUUGAUACCGUUCCACUAUUUCACUCCAGCCAUUACCACAAGCCCGUCCUCCCCAAUUAAGGUGCUGCCAACCUCCUGUGCCAAGCACCAUAAACUCUGAGGCUUACUCACCUCAGUAACAAUACUGGUAUUUACUCUCACCUUGAAGAAGUAUAAAUUAGAGAAGGCUCUGGCACCGAUCAGUCUUCCUACAAUUGAUGAUAGUAUUAUUAUCAACCUACAGUGUAUCAUUUCUACAAAUUCUAAACCAGAACGUGGCCAUGCUUCCAUGAGCCACUAGUGGAUUCUAAACCAGAACGUGGCCAUGCUUCCAUGAGCCACUAGUGGAUUCUAAACCAGAACGUGGCCAUGCUUCCAUGAGCCACUAGUGGAUUCUAAACCAGAACGUGGCCAUGCUUCCAGGAGCCACUAGUGGAUUCUAAACCAGAACGUGGCCAUGCUUCCAUGAGCCACUAGUGGAUUCUAAACCAGAACGUGGCCAUGCUUCCAUGAGCCACUAGUGGAUUCUAAACCAGACCGUGGCCAUGCUUCCAUGAGCCACUAGCGGGUGCUAAAGUUCAGCAGUAGCAUUGGUAUCAAACGUGAGGUGUCACUUUGCAGGAAUACCAGUUAACGCUUCAUUCACACUAUAGGGCCGUUCUGGCUCCGGGUGUUUUCUUUGCUCUUCAGGGUUCCAGCAGCUAUGGUGGAUGUGUAACCAGGCCAGCCUAGUACAACUCUGCUUGGCUCGGUUUGGCCUCCUAGUGGGAAUCAGGCAUUAGGGCAACAAGCAACAAGGGAAGAACCUUCUCCAUCACCUUCCUGUCAGCAUGUUAAAGGGAAAACAAAUACAAGAAACAUCACAUUUAACCAAAAAGCUUUUUCUUUUAGUUAUCCUAACUUUUUAAGAUAACUUUUUUUGCUUUUAUAUUUAUCAUAUUUUAUCUAUUUCUUCUUCGAGAGAGAGAGAGAGAAAAAAAGGGAUGUUUAAAAAAAAAGAAAAGGGAUGUUUAUAUUAUAACCAAACAAUUUCAUUAUUUUUGCACCUCUUUGUAGCUUUUAACUCACAAGGGUCUUAUUCCAGCAUUAUAACCAAGCAUCCCUUAGUAAAGAGUCAUCCCAAAUGCUACCCUAUUCCCUAUAGUACUCUUUGUGUAUUAAAGCGAUGGUGGUGAUUGUUGCUAUGAAAAGAGCCCGAUCCUCCUAACCUUGAACUGAGGUACUACAUCACAUAUAAAGACAGUAGCAGUGUAUUAUUAAACCACACUCUAUGUUAGAGGUAACGUUGAA